rnacentral:tRNA from 1 species
GUCUAGGUAGCUUAGUUGGUAGCGCGUCUGCCUUGUAAGCGCUAGACCCCGGGUUCGAUUCCCACCCGGGACA